CCAAGGAAAACUAAAACUUCUAAAAACAGGUUUACUUAAAAUUAGGUUAUUGUAUUUAUCUCAUAAUUAGGCGAUUGUAUAAAGACCUGCUCCAUUUAUUUAUUAGACAGAUCUAACCCUGGCGGUCUAAGGCCUCUCCAAUCCUAUCUCUCUCAGAGUCUCAGUUAUUUCAUUGAAGCGCACUCAACGUUCUCCAUUAAAGCGCAGUUCACGCUCUCUGUUGAAUCUAAUUCUUGUAUCCCCCAUUGAAGCAGCUUCCGAGAUACAUUUUUAUAAUCCAUAAUUCGAUAAAGGAUUUAUGGAUACAGAAAAUAUUCCAGCCCCUUGUGUACACACAAACUUGAAGGAGGCUGAAUUAGGUUGUUUUGAUACACAACAUAUAGCAUACGCUAACUUAUUGUUAAAAAGUGCUGUGAAUCUGGAACGUAUGGUUAUUACUAUGGCGUUGAAGUGUUAUCAGGGAUGCGGUGUCGUAUGGAACGAUCCUUUUAAAUUGUUCACUAAGAAGGAAAGUGAAUUUAUUGGUCGUGCGUUGCAAGGAGUUGCUGCAGCUUCUAAUGUGGAUUUGAUUAUCCCUUGCAAACCUUGAUUAUCUAGGCUCGUCUGUACUAGUAAGAAUAAGAUAACUUGUUAUUGACCGUUCAUUAUUUUUGUCAGUGGCAAAUCCAGGGGUACACAGAGGAACAUGAUGUUAACGUAGUUAUAAUGUCUUAUUUUUUUCUGUUUUUGCUCUAAAGAUAUGUAAGUUUUUGAUGUUUUCGAAAAAUAGGUAAUGAAGUACUAGCAACACUAGCAUUUGUGGGAGUGGAAGUGAACUUGGUGUUGUUCUCAAAAUCGGUGUUGAGACAGACAAACGCCGAGGCAGCAAUCACCUUCAGUAUGUGGAUGGGUGUGGUGUAUCUGUUUUCAUUGAUAGGGGCUUUUCUCAGUGAUUCAUAUUUGGGAAGAUAUUUCACUUGCUUAAUCUUCCAAGCAGUUCUUACCAUUGGGUUAAUUGCAAGCUCCUUGACAACCAAACAUCUCCUACUAAAACCUGGUGGUUGUGGAACACUAGAGCAACAAUGUGAUCCUCACUCGAAAUUCGAGACAGCUAUAUUCUUCAUAUCUAUCUACUUAGUUGCCUUAGGUAACGGGGCAGCUGAACCUGCACUAGCUACAUUUGGGGCUGAUCGUUUGAUGAGGAAGAUCCUGAAGAAAGCCGAGCAAAGACCUCGUUCUUCAGCUACUUCUACGUAGCCUUAAACAUGGGUUCCUUAAUAGGAGAGACAAUUUUGGUAUACAUUGAGACAAUGGGAGAUUGGGUGCUUGGAUUUUGGAUAUCUAUUUGUUGUGGAAUUGCUGCUUUGGUUUGGCUGUUUAGUGGAACUAUGAGAUACAGGCAUUUUAAGCCUAGUGGUAAACUGAUAACCCGUCAAAAAAAAGCCAAUAAUAUAUAUUAUUGGUUUUUUUUUUUUUUUUUUUUUUUUUUUUGACGGGUUUAUUUUCCUCAAUAUAUAUUGUUAUUAAUUAUUAUUGGAAAUAAAAACUCAUAGUUUAUAUGGCAAAUAAAUAAUACUCCAUAAAUUAAGAGUAUAUUUUAAUGGA